GAUGAACGCUGGCGGCGUGCCUAAUACAUGCAAGUCGAGCGAACGGACGAGAAGCUUGCUUCUCUGAUGUUAGCGGCGGACGGGUGAGUAACACGUGGAUAACCUACCUAUAAGACUGGGAUAACUUCGGGAAACCGGAGCUAAUACCGGAUAAUAUUUUGAACCGCAUGGUUCAAAAGUGAAAGACGGUCUUGCUGUCACUUAUAGAUGGAUCCGCGCUGCAUUAGCUAGUUGGUAAGGUAACGGCUUACCAAGGCAACGAUGCAUAGCCGACCUGAGAGGGUGAUCGGCCACACUGGAACUGAGACACGGUCCAGACUCCUACGGGUGGCAGCAGUAGGGAAUCUUCCGCAAUGGGCGAAAGCCUGACGGAGCAACGCCGCGUGAGUGAUGAAGGUCUUCGGAUCGUAAAACUCUGUUAUUAGGGAAGAACAUAUGUGUAAGUAACUGUGCACAUCUUGACGGUACCUAAUCAGAAAGCCACGGCUAACUACGUG
rnacentral:rRNA from 1 species